UACGUAGGGUGCAAGCGUUGUCCGGAAUUAUUGGGCGUAAAGGGCUCGUAGGCGGUCCAUCGCGUCGGGAGUGAAAAGCUGGGGCUCAACCCCAGUCCUGCUUCCGAUACGGGUGGACUAGAGGUAGGCAGGGGAGAACGGAAUUCCUGGUGUAGCGGUGAAAUGCGCAGAUAUCAGGAGGAACACCGGUGGCGAAGGCGGUUCUCUGGGCCUUACCUGACGCUGAGGAGCGAACGCGUGGGGAGCAAACAGG
rnacentral:rRNA from 1 species